rnacentral:rRNA from 1 species
GUAGGGAAUAUUGGGCAAUGGGCGAGAGCCUGACCCAGCCAUGCCGCGUGCAGGAAGAAGGCUUUCUGAGUCGUAAACUGCUUUUGAUAGGGAAGAAUAAGGUGUACGUGUACACCGAUGACGGUACCUACAGAAUAAGCACCGGCUAACUCCGUGCCAGCAGCCGCGGUAAUACGGAGGGUGCGAGCGUUGUCCGGAUUUAUUGGGUUUAAAGGGUGCGUAGGCGGCCCGUUAAGUCCGGGGUGAAAGCCCGUUGCUCAACAACGGAACUGCCCUGGAUACUGGCGGGCUUGAGUUUAGUGGAGGCCGGCGGAAUGGACCGAGUAGCGGUGAAAUGCAUAGAUACGGUCCAGAACCCCGAUUGCGAAGGCAGCUGGCAACCCUAAUACUGACGCUGAGGCACGACAGCGUGGGGAGCGAACAGG